rnacentral:rRNA from 1 species
UACGUAGGGUGCGAGCGUUGCCCGGAUUUAUUGGGCGUAAAGGGCGCGUAGGCGGCUCGGCACGUCCGUUGUGAAAUCGCCCGGCUCAACUGGGCGGGGUCAGCGGAUACGGCCGAGCUUGAGCAAGCUAGGGGGCAAUGGAAUUCCCGGUGUAGCGGUGAAAUGCGCAGAUAUCAGGAAGAACACCCGUGGCGAAGGCGGUUCUCUGGGACGGUACUGACGCUGAGACGCGAAAGCGUGGGGAGCGAACAGG